GACCCCAUCUUCACUUUGCCACAAGGAUUCUUUAUGUCCUCAGUGGUCAUUCAUGUGGGGAAAAGUAUUUCAUCCUUAUACACCCCAGUCCAACUCCUGUUUGUCCUGGGGUUGUAUUGAGGAAACAGCA
ensembl:snoRNA SNORA27 small nucleolar RNA, H/ACA box 27